ensembl:lncRNA
CAUUAUAUAUCUUUUUCAUCAUACACUAGAGCCUACACAGUUUCAGCUCUAAUUGUGUGCAGAGAAAGCUGAAAAUGGAAAUGCUUCUGAAGUCUGCUGAAGUUCUGGAAAUCAACAGGGAAGGAUGACCUUUUGCAUGUGGGAUGGAUGUAUCACAUAGUAAUUUCAGUUGUCCAGCAAAUGCGGUAUUGCAAACUCUAGCACUUUUUCCACUUGGCAAGAUAUACUGCAAACAGGCAAGCUUGGAAGAAAUUGAGCAUUUCUCCACCACCUCUGUCCCUGCGAAGCCUCCCACACUGCUUCCUUGGUCAGAUUCUCCAAACAAAACACUGAGGUCUUAAUGAGGGCCAUCUUGAAGGUGAUUUCACAGACCAUUACAGCUCUGCUGUUAAUUAGACAGAAGUAACAGACAAUGACUAACACAGAGUUGCUGCUUUUGAAAAUGCAAUGUUUUCUCUGUGCACCAUUUUUUUUUCCAUACGAACAUUUCAUUUGCUGCUGCUACAAGUAAUGUAUUCUUUUCAGUUCAGUUUCCAUCGCAUUUUCUUCUGAAGUGUUUCCUGUCAUAUUCUAUACUCAUUUUGAUGACAGCUGAAUGACACCUAAGAAAAAAUAAUUAGCACUGCAACAUUUUUAAAUGUUCUCCCCAUUUAUUUAGGCAAAAAAAAGUUUGAAACCCUAGGAUCUGGGCUGAGCGAAAGAUCUAAUCUGCAUGAAAGGUUGUAGAUGGCUUUGUCAUUACUUUGAGAAAAGGAUGCUCCCGAUGAUGCAGUGCAAUCUGGGAGUUAGUGCUAACAGGUUCCAGAUGUUUUCAGUGCAUAGCCUUGUAUGGAGAAGAGUGCAGCUGUGCGUAUCUCUUUUUCCCAUCUCCUAUUGAUGCUAUUCUUUCUUUACAUCAAUCUGUCCUUAUUUUCUCACGUAGCUGAGAGAGACAAAUCGACACAGAUGCAGAACUGGUAUCAUGCAAAAUACAUGAAUAAACAUAUAAGGAAGCCUUAAGUUCAGUAUGUGUGUCAACCGUGAAGACACUGGUGAGAUGCCCUGCUUUACAGCUUCACAGGAAUGCCACCAUUUUUCUGUUUUGGGUUCAAGGGACACAGGCAUUUAGAAAGGCUUUUAGUUCCAGCUAUUAAGGAAUUUUCUCUAGCAUACUACUAUGCAGGAAACAGGACUAUUGUGCACUUUGAAUGACAGAGGAAUCUGGCCGCACUUCAGUUUCUAAUGGCUCUGCAGCCCUGACCUGUAAUGCCAUUUCACUGUACUGGAAAAGUGCAGUACCUGUAUCAAAGUUUCUAGGGACAGUGUCUCAAAUGCAGACUAUGGGCUGGUUACUUAUUAGUCAUCAUUAUAUCCAUCAUCCCAUCCUGCAGUAUUUCUGCAAGGGGCUGUGCAUACGGGAAGAGGAGUCAAUGCUCAUGCGGUUUGAAUGGAUUAAAGCCUCCAAAACUCAUGUGGGAACAAAGCUGUUGUCUGACAUACACAAUACAGUCAGCGUAUAAUGAAUAUGUAGUGCACAGCAUAAGGAAACUCUCAGCACAAUUAUCUCCCUAUUGAAAGUAAUAUCAGUAUAUAAAUAACAGGGUAAAUAGUGGCCUCUUAAAACAGAGUACUUAUCAAGCAGUUAUCUUGUGUUGGAUUGUUUCUGUUAUUCCUACGCACAGACACUUGAGAUCCCUUGCUGCCGUGAACACAAGUGCUCUGCACAGUGUCAGGCACCCUGCAGCUUCUUUCACUUCAGACAGUCAAGUAUCUCUCCACAGACACCUGCUUUCUGACAUUACUGGCAGUUUUUUCACAGUCUGCUAAGACUUCACAGCCUUUUCACCUGACUUGUUCUGAAUGUUCGUGACAGGUGGACUGCUCCAUGUGCUGUCCUUUGAAUCUACACUUUCGGAUUUACCUUCUCUUACCUUUUCUUCUCUCUCUCUCUCUUUUUUUUUUCUUUCUCUGUUUCCUUUACCAACACCUGAACUCAACACGAGCAAACAGAGAAGCAAAAUGCAGUCUAGGGUGCACCAUGUGUUAACACAUUUGCUUAUUUAUGUAUUAUAUUUCUGUCUGAUGCCCUAAGACAGAGAACAUCACCCCUGCAGAGGAGGAACUAUCUGCAAUGCAAACCUUCGAUGGAAACUCACACAAAGAACAUCUUUAUAAGUGCCAUUGAAAUUGCUGUCAUUUAUUCCUUGGAUUUUAUUUGGUUUUAUUUUCAUGUGUAAACGGUGUUCUGUUUACUCCGUAUAGGUGGUACAGCAUGGCAGAAACAGUCAAAAUAGAGAUGCCAUAAAAAAAUAAAUAAAUUUACAGAAU